rnacentral:rRNA from 1 species
UACGUAGGUGGCAAGCGGUGUCCAGAAUUAUUGGGCGUAAAGCGCGCGCAGGCGGUCCUUUAAGUCUGAUGUGAAAGCCCACGGCUCAACCGUGGAGGGUCAUUGGAAACUGGGGGACUUGAGUGCAGAAGAGGAAAGCGGAAUUCCACGUGUAGCGGUGAAAUGCGUAGAGAUGUGGAGGAACACCAGUGGCGAAGGCGGCUUUCUGGUCUGUAACUGACGCUGAGGCGCGAAAGCGUGGGGAGCAAACAGG